GUGCUCACUUUGGCAGUAUAUAUACUAAAAUUGGAACAGUACAGAGAUUAGCAUGGCCUUUGUGCAAGGAUGACAUGCAAAUUUGUGAAGCAUUCCAUAUUAAA